rnacentral:rRNA from 1 species
AUGAAGAGUUUGAUCCUGGCUCAGGAUGAACGCUAGCGGCAGGCCUAACACAUGCAAGUCGAGGGGCAUCGGGGAAAAGCUUGCUUUUCCGCCGGCGACCGGCGCACGGGUGCGGAACGCGUAUGGAACCUGCCCCUGUCAGGGGAAUAGCCCAGGGAAACUUGGAUUAAUGCCCCAUGGUACCGCGAUAUCGCAUGAUAUUGCGGUUAAAGAUUUAUCGGACAGGGAUGGCCAUGCGUACCAUUAGUUAGUUGGUGGGGUAACGGCCCACCAAGGCAGCGAUGGUUAGGGGCCCUGAGAGGGGGAUCCCCCACACUGGUACUGAGACACGGACCAGACUCCUACGGGAGGCAGCAGUGAGGAAUAUUGGACAAUGGGCGGGAGCCUGAUCCAGCCAUGCCGCGUGCAGGAUGACGGCCCUAUGGGUUGUAAACUGCUUUUAUACGGGAAGAAAUGCGCCCACGUGUGGGCGUCUGACGGUACCGUAAGAAUAAGGACCGGCUAACUCCGUGCCAGCAGCCGCGGUAAUACGGAGGGUGCAAGCGUUGUCCGGAAUCAUUGGGUGUAAAGGGUGCGUAGGCGGACUGCUAAGUCUGGGGUGAAAUCUUGCCGCUUAACGGUAAAAUGGCCUUGGAUACUGGCAGUCUUGAGUGUAGAAGAGGCAGGUGGAAUUCGUAGUGUAGCGGUGAAAUGCAUAGAUAUUACGAAGAACAUCAGUGGCGAAGGCGGCCUGCUGGUCUACAACUGACGCUGAGGCACGAAAGCGUGGGGAGCGAACAGGAUUAGAUACCCUGGUAGUCCACGCCGUAAAC